CUACGGGGGGCAGCAGUGGGGAAUUUUGGACAAUGGGCGCAAGCCUGAUCCAGCCAUUCCGCGUGAGUGAAGAAGGCCUUCGGGUUGUAAAGCUCUUUCGCAAGGGAAGAAAACUUAUCCUCUAACAUAGGGUGAGGUUGACGGUACCUUGAUAAGAAGCACCGGCUAACUACGUGCCAGCAGCCGCGGUAAUACGUAGGGUGCGAGUGUUAAUCGGAAUUACUGGGCGUAAAGCGUGCGCAGGCUGUUUUGUAAGUCAGAUGUGAAAUCCCCGAGCUCAACUUGGGAACUGCGUUUGAAACUACAAGACUAGAAUAUGUCAGAGGGGGGUAGAAUUCCAUGUGUAGCAGUGAAAUGCGUAGAGAUGUGGAGGAAUACCAAUGGCGAAGGCAGCCCCCUGGGAUAAUAUUGACGCUCAUGCACGAAAGCGUGGGGAGCAAACAGGAUUAGAUACCCGAGUAGUC
rnacentral:rRNA from 1 species